rnacentral:ncRNA from 1 species
AAUGCUAGGGGUGUUGUUUAGACUGAGAGACUUUUUAAGUUAACCCUUUGAACCUGAAUUGGUUAAUACCAACGGAGGAAAGCUAUUCU